rnacentral:misc_RNA from 1 species
GAUGAAGAACGUAGCGAAAUGCGAUACUUGGUGUGAAUUGCAGAAUCCCGCGAAUCAUCGAGUUUUUGAACGCAAGUUGCGCCUCAAGCCAUUAGGUUGAGGGCACGUCUGCCUGGGCGUCACAUAUCGUUGCCUGAUGCCAGUUUCCUCGUGAUGGGUGACUGUGCAGGGCGAAUGAUGGCUUCCCGUGAGCAUUGUUGCCUCAUGGUUGGUUGAAAAUUGAGUCCUUGGUAGGGAGCGCCGUGAUAGAUGGUGGUUGAGUGACGAACGAGACCCAAUCAUGUGAGACCCCUACCGAAUUUGGCCUUCAUGACCCACAUGCGUCUUUGGAACGCUCAUGACGAGACCUCAGGUCAGGCGGGGCUACCCGCUGAGUUUAAGCAUAUCAAUAAGCGGAGGA